AGAGACAGAAAUGGGUGGAGAAUCACAGCAGAAGUGGUGGAUGCUCAUCAGUUGCAAAGCUGUGACUCUACCCAGAAAACAGCAUGAGACAUUGAAGUGUCAUUCCUACCUCACCUGUGAGAUCCAGGUGGCUGUGUGCCUGCCCUGCUCUGGUAUGUGGGUACCUCCCCCAGAGGCUCCUGGAUCCUCCGUGCACCGAGCAGUGAUGUGCCUGCUGCAUUUGGCUGGGAGCUUUGGAAGCAAAGAUGGUUGUGACUUUAGCAUGGUUGCCAAAGUGUUCAUAGGUUUUAAUGCUCUUCAACAAGAAAUCAUCUGGUCCUUCCUGUAGUGGCUCAGGAAGCCUGCUUGGAACAACAGCGGAGAUGAGCAGCUGACCGAGGAAUGACCCACGUGAGCAGCGGCAGCGGCAUCCAAAGGAGCCUGAGUCAUUUCCCCCGUGGAAAGCCGGAGUCAGCAUUUCAGCAUUUCCACAGGGCUCCUCACACGGACGUGGGAACCGGCAGAAGGGCGAGAUUCCCCAAAUCCAGGCUGGCAUCCAAGGCUGGAGCUCAGCACCAGCACCACGGUGCCAACCCCAGAGCCCUAGGGGUGCCCAGAGCCCCAGGAUCCAGCACGGAGCUGGAAGCAGUUAAGCAGCUGUACCUCGGGGUACCUGAAAUUAGGCCCAUAAGGGCAGGCCUGGAGAAAUGUUUUAGAAAAGAGCAGCGACGUUCUCAAAAGAGCCAGGAUGUCAAAAUUCACUUUUGAAAAUCUCCCCAGGAAUCCCAUCUAUCUGCCUUUUUAGUCACUUUGAAGGUUGGUGAUUAAAUCCAUACUUACAGUGUGAUUCUCCCACACAUGGGGAGCAAUGGGAGCUUUGUCAUCACCACUAAUGGGGACAGGAUUGUGAGGAAUGAAAUAUGCAAGGAGUAUGUGAGGGGAAAAAAACAGGCUUGAAAAUCAUCAAAUGAAAGAGCCAGCGGAGUUUUUAAUUUUUUAUUCAUGCUUUAAUUACUGAAAAUGAUAGAAGCACUUUGCCAUUUUUUAAAAAUGGUUACGUUUUAAAAUGUCUGGGGUUGUUUGUUUGUUUCUUUUGGGAAUGCCUUACAAUAACCAAGAGAUAUAAAUCAACCCAUGGUUUUGCUUUUCUUUUCUUCUGCAGCCACAGCUUAAACAACCAAACAGCAGGGCAGCUUCUCAGCAGCCUGGCUCCACCCCGAGUGCUCUGGGAAGGUUGGAGUGGGGCUGCAGCACAUGCCAGCUUUGCCCUGAUGGAGUUCUCCCACAACAUUCAUGCCCUCCUGGUUGGGGUGCCCACAGAGCCUCCUAAGGAGGCUGAUUUCUCUUUGCUAAACUUUUGAGACCUUUCCUGCCUUGUUUCACAAAAAUGAGGGGUGCUGAAAUUGGAAGGACAGCCCAAUUUUUGUGAUUAUUCUGAGUGAAAUGCUUACUCUACUUUAACAGCUCUGUAAGACUUAGCUAAAAAAAUGUAUCAGGUCAUGCAGGCAGACAUUUUUCCACUUUCAUAUCUCUCUGUACCUUCCCUCUCCCCCUUCCCCUGUCCCAUAUAAGCAUCAGAUUUUAAUCUGCUUCUGUCUCUUUAGGGGUGUGAGCCCACAGUGUCCCAGGUCCCCAGGGAAGGAAGCCCUGGAGCCAUGCCCAAACCUCACCAAAGCAGCUGCCUUGGGUGGUGCAGCUGUGCUGGGUGGGAGGCUGGUGUGGGCCAGAUGCUUUAGGGACACUUACUUGGAGUUUGGGACAAAACCCUCGAGGAUGUCACAGUUUUCUAGCCUCUGCUGCCCACAGGGACUGUCAGUCUGGUUUCUCUCAUGGACCCUCAAAAAUGGUUUUGCUCAAUCUACGAGGCACAGAGAACCAACGAGCUGUCAGGUGGGAACAUCCACAUCAUCCCCCAAGGACCACUGAAGAGGGCCAAAGCCAUGGAACCUAUCACUGGACUCUUCAUUCACUCCUUUCUUUUUAAAAUAUUCCCUCCAUGGGCAAACAACUCCCUGGCAUUGCUAGCCAGUGACAUGUGACCCUGCCUGUCACAGAGCCCUGUGUUUUAUGCCAUGGGGCAAGAGCAAAUGGCCAGAGGAAGCCAAGGCAGGAGCAGGUCACAGCUCCCUGGGCAGCUGAGCUCCUGGAGGAAUCUCCUGCUGUCUUGUUUGCUCUCUCUUCAGUGUUUCAGCUCUCUGUUUUGCAGAACUGCAGAAUUUCUGUAGAAUGCAAAGAGCAGCUCCUCUGUGUCUCACAGGCAUACUGUGAGGAUAAAUGUAUUAAAGAUGUGCAGAUGUCAGAGUCCACAUCAGGGCAAAAACAUCUCAGGGAAGAUAAAUACGCCUGUAGACACCAAGUAGUCUCUUUCUUUGAUGCUUUAAUGCUUUUAUGGUCAAUAAAGAAACCCUGAGUUUCACAAAGGCUGUCUGACAGUUCUAAUAUUAGCAUCCUCACCACAUCCUUGAUGAUGCCUGUUUGUAUCUCUGUGUGAUGCUGAUGUUGUUGGUAACAUUUUCAUGUAGUCUAAACCAAAGUACAAACCUGGUUUGUGCUUGACAGUGAAUUGGUUUGCAAAAAUGAAGCAAAACACAGUUCAAUCAUUUGCAAAUGUGAGGAGAGGAUGAUUACAUUAAUAUUUCUGUAUUACAUGAAAAGAUGUCUAAGUUGCUUCUUCAUAGGAAGAAUAAUAACUUAGUAAAGGAGUAAAUGUAAUUCAGCAGAAACAGCAGUGGAUAUUUGCAUUUCCCUUGGCUUUAGUUCAACCAAGUCAAGAGCUUUUUGUGAUAAAUUCAGUGAAGAGAGAGAGACCAAGCUGCAGGGAGGCUGUGCCAGUAGCUGCAGUCCCAAGGCAGCUCCUGCUGGGAGCUGCUCCCACCCCAUCACACACGGGAGCAGGAGUGCAGCCUCGACCUGACAGAGGUUACACCCCCUCAGCGUGGCCAAAUUCAUCUAUACUGGAGCAGGAGAGAUUGUGCCAUCAAUCACCUGCACCAGGGAUGAAGUUAAGCUGCUUGCUCAACUUCCCUUUUCUCCUUCCUUGCUGGUGGAGCCUUACCCACCCAAUCACAGGUGCCUCAAAGGAGGGUUUGUGUGGGUUCUUUUUUUUUUUCUUCCCUGGAACAUUUGACUAAAUCACAUUUGCAGAUAUUUCAAAUGUUUCAUUCACGUGACACCUGAGCUUUAUUUACUUUUGAAAUAAGUCAUCUCAUUAACAGAAUUCAUUAUCCAUUAUUACUGUCAUGUCAUUCUCCUAAUAAAAGGAAUGUCUGUAGAAGCAUUCAGUGGCUUAGCUGGUAGCAUAGUGAGCUAUUAUGCAGCAAACCUGCAUUCACACUGUACAUUGGUAUGCCAAGGCUGGCAGAGACUAGGAGCAUCAAUGAGGUAAUAGUCUUAAUCUCUGAGGGGAGGAUUAUGUUGUGCUGCACUGCAAAUGCCUCCUACUGUUAGCAGGAUAAUACUUCAGAUGGAGCUAUAAAUUGUUCAACAAAUAAGGACAGGUGCUGGGAAGAGGGUGAAAAAACACCUUCAAUGUUCCACCAUUAUCUCCAGAUAAGAGGUGGAAAAACUGUUGUUCUCACUGCUAAACUAUUAUCACUCUUUCUCCAUUUAAAUUACCAGCGUGGCAUGGCCAGCCACUCAAAAGUGAAGUGCACUGAUAGUAGUUGGGUCUCUUCUUCCCAGAAAUGCUGUUUGCUUUUGUGACUGAACUAAUGCUGGCUGUGGAUACGUGUGGCACGAAGUGAUCACGGGCAGGCUGCCCCAGAAACACUGUCCCACCUCCCUGUGUGAGUUCCCUUUUCCAGACAGUCCUACUGCACAUCUGAGCCUGGACAGACCGUGCUCCUCACUCUUUCCUGCUCAGAGAAAGAGUUAGGAUUCAUUACUGUUCAUGGCAUCACAGCUUGUAGCUGUUCUCUUUAUGGAACCAAGUUUUAUAGAUCUGAUACUCUGGUUUCACCUUAACUGACCCCUAACAGCAGAACUUAGAAUGAGAAAGGGAUUUCUCCUUUAUAAGUGGUAAUAAAAAAGUUGGCACAAUUUCCAGACCAUCUUUUGCAAUAGGAGGUCAGUGAAUAUCACAAAGCUGGGAAAAUUGUAUUAUUCCCACUUUACAGAGGAUAGAUUUGAGAUAUACACCAAAAAGUACUCAACCUGUGCUUUUGCUGGGGUAAACUUUGUCCAGUGGUCCCUGGAAAAUGCUGCUUUAUCACAGGAUAGCAGAAGAGCACUUAAUGGCAAUGUACAGAUCAGCAGUUCAGGCUGAACUUAAGCAGAGCUUUGCUCCUAAACAAAUGUUGCCUUUUUCAGGUAGCAGUGAUUUACCACAGUCCCAGCACUUGUCUCUACUCUUAUCCUGUUGUUCUUCCCACUGCUGGAAUUUGCUCUUGAUCCAAAGCCUCACCCAGCCACACAACAAACCAGAGGUGAAUUCAGAGUGGGAAGCAAUGCCUUCAGUCUCCCAGUGCCAGGGAACUGCUUUCUGCAGGACAGACCAGAGCCUGAGCUUCACUGCCUGCUCUGAAUCUGCUUCAGAGAUGGAAAAAGUCCUCAUGGGUGCCUGAUGUCGCCAGAGCUGCAGGAUCCCAGCUCUGCAGAACAAAGAACAUAUAAUAAUUAUUGGUCCUGGAAACUUAAAUAUAGAAUAUGCUGUAAUCCUGUGUUCAUUAUGACUUGAGGGACUGGUAAUAAUAAUGAGGCAUUACGCAGCCCUAAGGAGCUUCAUAUCUAGAAGAAGAGCUGGAUUUCAAAAAAGGGCUUUGGUGUGCAAGAACAUGAGAAGGGCCUGUAUUUUGCUUUCUACUUGUUUGUUGGUACUCCGGGGUAGAAAAAGUGCCUGAAAAUCAUUAAGAACUGAACAAACUGAAGUUAAAAGCUUUGAUCAUGGAGUGGAAACAGGAAGCAGGGCUGCUUUAGCAAGCUUGGCUGCUGUGACUCCUCUCACCAGGAUGCCAGCUGGAGUAGCACAGGUCACAGAACCCACCAGGCAGCAUAAAUAUUCUGUUUCCAGAACCUUCCAGAUUCCUGACAACUUUUGGAUUCGGCACUGAUAAGUGACCAGGACUGACAUGACAUCUUACAGAAAUGACACUGCUCCUGCAGCAAGGGGCUCUUGGAGAAACACUCUGUGAAGAUAAGGGUGGAAAAGUCAAGAGGAUGAGAAAAGCAUCCCAAAGGAGCCCAUGAAUUGAGGGAAAGGUAAUAGCUGGAUUAAUGUUCAACUGCUUCAUUUUGGGGUUUGCCGUGAAUAAUUAAGUGUAAUUAAUAAAUAGUGCCCUGAAGAUAGGAUCAAACAGACUUUGGGUGUGGUGCUUAAUCCUUCCUGAGUUGGAGAGCAAGGCCAGCAGCCCAUAAUGGAUUUAACUAAUUCUCUUAAUUGCAGCUUCAUUUGCCUGAUCUUUCUAAAUGGCAUUAAUCUAGAUUUGCAGAAUAAGCACUUGGAAAAGACUUACCAAAAUCACGGUAGGAUCUCAAAGAUACAUUUCUCUUCUUAGGUUUUCUUCAGUGAGAGAAGAGAUUUCAUUGUCAAUGCAAAUUCUAUUAAUUUGGCUAAGUGUUCACAGUCUUUGUUGGCAUAAAAUAAGAAUUUAAAAUGUCAUUAGCAAAUUCAACCCUUAGAAUCAACAUUGGAAAUGACAAAUUCUGCAAGACUGCUAAUUAGUUAUUUACAGAUUAAAUACUUCUAAAAGGCAAAACUGCAGCAUUUGACUCUCAUUUCUGCACUGGGUACUGAAGCAUUGCACAGAUUUCUGUGUCUCACAGAAGGAAACACAUCCCACGUGCUGACAACCACACUGGGAGACAAGAUAAUCACAUUCCUUUAUCACCCUUUGCCUGGACAACAACAAAUCUGCAAGAGAGACCUUUAGCUCUGAGCAAAUUCCAGCCAAAAGCAGUUAUAGUCAUAUCCUCAGGUUUUCCAGAUCUGAUCUGCCCUCUGCUCCCACCACACUCCACCACUCAGGUGUUCAGCUCCCUUCUCUACAGAGCUCACUAUGAUGACUAAAACAAUUAACAAAACCUAGAGAUGCAGAGUUUAAAUCCACUGCCAACAGUUUCUCUCCUUGGGCACAACAGAAAAUUUCUUCUCUGACAGUGUUUUUUUGGAGAAAAAGGAAUAAAUUGCAGCACAUAUGGAAAAAUGUGAAGCCGUGUGAAUGGCUUUGACUUGCCAGAGGUGACCAGCUGUGCCAGUUUUGACUCUUGACCCAUUUUGAGUUUGAUUUCCUACCUAAGUCCUGCAGAUGUAACUGCUGUCAUUCUUGCCUGAAAUCAAGACCAUGUCAUUGGUGUUAUUACCCAUGAAAAUAAAUGCCAAAAUUCCCACUGGCUCAGUGGUACAACAUCUGCCAACUGAGUCCAGUUCUGCUCAUGGCAAGGAUUCUUCUGUCUUUUAAUUACAGACUGAACAAAAUAUAUAUAAAACAAAAUCAAACACGAGCAACAUGGACUGUCCAACCAUACACACCACUGUGUAAUGUUUAAUGUAGGUGCACACCACUCAUCUUUUCCCUCCCUAUGAUUUGCUGCCUCUGUUGCUGUGUUUUGCCUUAAGCUGGGCUGUAAACUAUUAGGAAAAAUUUGGUUUUUUCCCCUGUGUUUGUGCAGCAAUGAACACUGAAAAUCCAAGGGAUUGUCACCCCACUGUACUAUUAAUGAUUGAGACCAGUAAUUAUUUGAUUCUCAUUAUGAAAUCAAAGAAAUACCACUGCUUCAAAGCUACACAUGUUGCAAGUAGCCAAGUGCAUGUGAUAUCCACGGCCCUUUUGCUGCUCUUAGCUAGCCACUAACUCACUUAAUUUUGUGUAGUUUAGCACAUUACAAGAUUGUUCAGGAGUGCCAUAAAUGAUGUCAGGCACCAUCAGAAACCACUUCAGAAAAUCAUUGCCUGUAGCCAGAUCAAAAGGUGAACACCUGGAAACUUGCAGUUCUGGGAAAGCAGAAUAAAUCUUUUUUCUUUCCCCCUUUUCUCUCUUUUUUUCCUUUCUCUUCCUCCUGGAGAUUUGUUUCUUUUUGCCUUAAAGAAUUUGAAAGGUUUAUUUACAGCUUUUCAAAUGACCCCUAAUCUAUUUAGAAAAACACAGCACGGCAAAUUCAUCUCGGGUGCAACUCCAUUUGUUGACUUAAGCAGAGUUGUGCCAGAAGGGAGCCUGGCCCAGGAGUUUCUCUGCAGAGAAAAACAAAGCAUUUGAAUACAACACUUAAUUGGCUCCUUGAGUCCCAUCACAGGCUGUCCUGGAAUAUAUUUAUUAAAGGUAAUUCUUUUAUUGUGGUAAGAUUGUAUCAGUAACUGAAAGUCAUGGUAUUAGUUUUAAACAUUGUCUUUUUCCUUAGGCUUCCCUGCUUGAGGCUGAUCAUUUUCACAGCACCUGACAGUGUUUAGAGAGACAUUGUAUUAUAUAGUUGAGUGAAAUCUAAGACCAUAAAUAACUGGGAAAGUUGCUUAUUUUGUCAGAUAUCAGCAAUAUAAUUGCUUACAAUCCAUCAGGGUCAACUUUCAGGAAGUAAUAUAAAAAGUUGUUUGCUGUGGAGCUGUGGAAUUCAGAGAUGUGCUGGGAGCCUCUUGCAAAGACACACAGAGUCCAUAAGUAAUAUUAAAAUGAUACUUGCUAUAUAAUUAAAAGCUAAUUGAUUUGUUUAAUCCUUCAAAUUUUCUACAUUCUUCUCUUGACCAGGUUUUUAUAUUGAUUCACUAUUUUUACAUUAAUUUGUUAUUUUUCUCAGCAAGUCCUGAAAAAGGAAUACUUUUAUGAACACAUAAACCCCAGAAAAAUAAUCUCAGGCACAAAAAGUCUAUUAAAACCUGUAGCUGCUGAUUUUCUUGCACUAAGGGUAGAGCAUGAAUCUGCCUGUAAGAGCUCUCUCCAUAUCUUGUAUAUGGAGCAGGGGCAUGGGGGGGAGUAGAAGGACACUAAAAGGAAAGGAUUGGCAAAAAGGAUAAGGAAAAGAGACUAAGGAGUGACCAGGGAGAACAUUGGUGAGGGGAAAAUAUAGAAAUAUCCUGAAAACAGAAAUCAGCAAGUGAUUGAGACAGGGCCAAAGCAGCCACAGACAACUGAUCCUCUUCCCUACUUGGCUGGUGACUGGAUAUAAUGCUCAUGGGGCAUUAAUCCUCCCUGUCCUGUCCCAAGAAACAAUCCUUAUAAGAUCCAGUGAUGAAGCCAGCAGAAAACUGCUGAACAAUUAGUGUACAUUCUGGAUGAAUCAGUUGCUUUGCUUUCAUUUGGAUGCUAAUGAUGUUGUGAUUGUGUUAGAGUAAGCUGGGUUUGGGUUUUCUCAAGUACACAAAAAAUCUGCAGUUUUAAUUAGUUUGCUAUGAACCAGCUCACUUUAAACAGUAGCAUUUAGUAGAUUGUAGAAGAUUUUCAUCCCUUUUUUCUGACUUUAAUAUACCAAUUAAGAGUUGUGCUUGCUGCACUGUUUUGGCCUUACACUGUGAUUUUGGUCAUAUAGUUUAACAAUUUAGAAGAAAAUCCUGAGGCCACAGAGCAUUUGCAAACACAGACCCAGCUGAACUGAUGGGGAGAGCACUGAGAGGGGAAUUUGCUUAAAAAAAAUAUGACCUUCCAUGUGCAAACAAACUCAUUUAUAGGAAAAGGACUAAUAAAACAGAGCCUUUUAAUGAGGCACCCAAACAAUAUUUUACAAACCAACUUCUUGCUAAAGAAGCUGUCUGGGUGUAUGCACGUGCAUUGCUGCUAAAACCAAUUACUUUACUACAUAUGCUAAUAAUACAUAUGUAUGAUUAGCAAAUACAUAUGCUAAUAAUUCAGCCAGGGUAAAAAUGUUAAAGCAAAAAAAAGGAGAGUAGCAUUUUGUAGAAUUCUGGUUUUGUUUAUCCAAGCAACUUGAAUUUAUACACCACAAGGAAGAAAAUGUUUUCUUUUUCACUUAUGAAACAACAGCAGGUAAUUUAAAAGCAACAAAUACAAAAAGUGCCAAUCCCAAGCAAUUAUUUGAAAUAAGAAUAAAUUAAAUGCCCAAAUUAUUUCUAUAUACCUAUAUAUGAUCCAGCAUCACUGGGAUUUUUAAAAUGAGAGCAAGGUCAAGCUCUGUAGCAACAAUGACAUUACAGACAUUAUUAAGAUAUAGAAUUACCAAGUCAGAUAACUUUUGGUUUUGCUCUCCUCUGUGAAACACAUUUAUAAUUCUUUCUGCAGUUCCAGGUUACAAAUGGCAAACUUAAUCUGAAGAGAAACAUUUAUAUAUUUGAUGUUAACUGCAAUAACAGUUCUAUUCAGUUAGAGCUUUUAAACCUUUUAAUAAAGCAGACACUUGACACAAAGUUUUUAUUUUAUUUUUGUAAUAGAUAUAUCCCCCAAAAGCUUGAAGUAAUAAAUCUGACUAUAGACUAAUAUUUCUCAGUAUUUGCCACAUAGUUUGUACCUAUUAGUGUUGCAUAAUAAAUAGAUGUUUAAAAUAUUUGUUCAUAGAGGUCUUUCCUUGAACUUAAGCGUAAGUUAUCUAAACAGUUGAAAAAAGAUUUAUAGUUAUGAAGAGGCCUAUAUGUCAAGCAAAGUUUUAUGAUAUAUUCCAUAAUAAAUUAGCAAUAAAUGGA